GGGCCCAGGCCCCCCGCGCCGCCACCGCCGAUAGUGCCCGUUGGGCAUCUGCCAGCCAUGCCUCAGCGGCGGCGCCGAGCCAAUGGUGUUGGAGCGGCCCAGGCUGGUGGCCACGGCGGCUUCGAAGGUGCGGCUGGACCAUGGAGCAUACACUUAGAGGAGCACGGAUCUGGAAGCUCAAAAAAUGUUAACAGGGGGCACACGGAAAGAAAGCCUUGCAACCUUGAAGGAAGACAGCUACAUGCAAGGGGCUCCACUUCCUCUCCAGGCUCACCUGUCUGUUGGGGGUCUGUGACCGGCCCUCACUGGGAGACCUGGACUGCUGGCGCUCUGGGGACUCCCAGUCGGCCUGGGUCCCUCGCUCCUCUGAGUUGCAGCGGGAGACAUCGGGAGAGAGAAGAUGCUUUCGCUCUUUCGACCGUCCCCGCUCUCUGCCCCCUGAGCGGUGGGUGUCAGACUUGUGGCCUGGGAGAGAUGACAAAAGCACGUGAUCACAACUCUACACAUACUGGCCUCUGAACAUAAAGAGAUGUCAUACAGCCUGGGAGGGACUGGGCCCCUGAGGAAUACUAGCUUCUCCAGGCAUGUCAACAGGUGAUCUGAAAGGGAGGCAGGAAGGAAAGGUUAGAAAAUUACCCUUUUGUGAAGAGGAAAGUGUGCAAGUUGCCAUUGGAAAGACACACAUGUCAAAGGAUGCACUUGAUUCUCUUCUGCUUCUGUUUAUGCUAAAACACAAUUAAGAUAGAAUCUUUGCCAACAAUAUGGCCCAGGAAUUCUCUAUGUCCUAAACACGGGUGUGGCAUCAGUAAAGGGCUGGAGGUCAAAGGGUUUCAGUCCACUGAGGACUUCUAGUCCCAUUUCUGCCACUUACUGGCCCUAUGCUAGAGGCAUGUCACUGCUUUGUGAUCUGUUUCCUCAUCUAGUAAAAUAGAAACCAUUAGAAAAUCAUGAGAAUGCUUCAAACUCUAUCAGUAUGACCCUUUUCCUUAAAAAAGACAAACAAAACUCAAAAACCUAAAAAAAUUCCAGGUAGCACUACUGGGGUUGAAGUGGAGUUGGCAGUAAGAGCCCAGCCCCUGCCAGGAAUGUGUUAGAGAGACCCCCUAAGGCAGGGCACCUGGGUGGCUCAGUGGGUUAAGCGGCUGCCUUCAAGUCAGGUCAUGAUCCUGGGGUCCUGGGAUCGAGCCCCGCAUCGGGCUACCUGCUCAGCAGAGAGCCUGCUUCUCCCUCCUGCUCUGCCUACUUGUGCUGUCAUCAAAUAAAUAAAUAAAAAUCUUUAAUAAUAAUAAAAAGAAGAAACCCC